rnacentral:tRNA from 1 species
GGGCUCGUGGUAUAGUGGUCUAGUACGCCUCCCUGUCACGGAGGAGAUCGCCGGUUCGACUCCGGUCGGGCCCGCCA